CCACUUGCUUAUCGGGGGUCCGGACUAAGCCAUGCGAGUCAUGGGGCUCCCUUUUGGGAGCACCGGCGAACGGCUCAGUAACACGUGGCUAACCUACCCUCGGGUGGGGGAUAACCUCGGGAAACUGAGGCUAAUCCCCCAUAGGGGAGGAGGUCUGGAAUGAUCCCUCCCCGAAAGGCGUAAGCCGCCCGAGGAUGGGGCUGCGGCGGAUUAGGUAGUUGGUGGGGUAAUGGCCCACCAAGCCUACGAUCCGUACGGGCCCUGAGAGGGGGAGCCCGGAGAUGGACACUGAGACACGGGUCCAGGCCCUACGGGGCGCAGCAGGCGCGAAACCUCCGCAAUGCGCGAAAGCGCGACGGGGGGACCCCGAGUGCCCUGCCUCUGGCAGGGCUUUUCCGGAGUGUAAACAGCUCCGGGAAUAAGGGCUGGGCAAGUCCGGUGCCAGCAGCCGCGGUAAUACCGGCGGCCCAAGUGGUGGCCACUGUUAUUGGGCCUAAAGCGUCCGUAGCCGGCCCGGUAAGUCUCUGCUUAAAUCCCGCGGCUUAACCGCGGGGCUGGCAGAGAUACUGCCGGGCUUGGGACCGGGAGAGGCCGGGGGUACCCCAGGGGUAGCGGUGAAAUGCGUUGAUCCCUGGGGGACCACCUGUGGCGAAGGCGCCCGGCUGGAACGGGUCCGACGGUGAGGGACGAAGGCCGGGGGAGCAAACCGGAUUAGAUACCCGGGUAGUCCCGGCUGUAAACUCUGCGGACUAGGUGUCGCGUGCCCUUCGGGGGCACGCGGUGCCGAAGGGAAGCCGUUAAGUCCGCCGCCUGGGGAGUACGGUCGCAAGACUGAAACUUAAAGGAAUUGGCGGGGGAGCACUACAACGG
rnacentral:rRNA from 1 species